CGGCGCAUCCCAUGACCAUCAAUAAUCCCUCUCAUUUUUUGGGGGAAUUCACAAAAAGAACCCACAAAUGAUCUUUAUUUUCCUGCGUACAGUAAAAAGAACAAAAACUAAACAAUCUAUUUACUCUCUCUCCAUAUGCACAAGACUCCAUUCAAACAAUCAGUAGAACAACAACUCCAUCUCUCUCAUUCAUCAAUUACCAUCCUUCUUCAAAACUACACACACAACUCUUUCACCAAAACUUCAUACUACUUCUAAACACCACCACCAUUAACCAUAUUCUUAUUCUUCCAUCUCCAUAUUCUCAAACUCACAUAAAAAAGAAACUUUCACAAAACAUUCUACAAAAUCCUUCAUCAUAAACUUCACCAACAACACUACAUAAAAAUCAACUGAUUCUCUAGCCAUAACAAGCCUUAAACUUCUCACACCUCACACUUCAAGAUUCCAUAUAAAACCAAAAAGAAGCUCCUCAUACUGUGUAUAUACUAUGAAACCAAACCACGUAACCAUUCAACAAAAUCUACGCCAACAAUGACAUUCACACGACCACCCUACUCCAUCAUGUACAUUCGUCGUUCGCAACAACCUUGUUGUUACCGUCGUUGUUUUCGUUUCGGUAUAUCAUCCUUUAAUUUCUUUUUGUGAUGUGUUGUUGUCUAUUAAUUUUAUUUCC
rnacentral:lncRNA from 1 species